UACAGAGGGUGCUAGCGUUGUUCGGAAUUAUUGGGCGUAAAGAGCGUGUAGGCGGCCCGGUAAGUCCGCUGUGAAAGUCGGGGGCUCAACCCUCGAAUGCCGGUGGAUACUGUCGGGCUAGAGUGCGGAAGAGGCGAGUGGAAUUCCUGGUGUAGCGGUGAAAUGCGCAGAUAUCAGGAGGAACACCAAUUGCGAAGGCAGCUCGCUGGGACGUAACUGACGCUGAGACGCGAAAGCGUGGGGAGCAAACAGG
rnacentral:rRNA from 1 species